AGCUUUCUUCCACUAUACCCUUCUGCCAUGCUGUUGUUUCUCACUUCAGAACAAUGAAGCCAGCCUACCCUGGUCUGGACCUCUGAAAUUGGUCUUCCUCUGUUGCAUAGGCUGGUCUGGAACUCAGGAGCUCAAAUGAUCCUCGUGUCUCAGCCUCCCAGGUACCUGGGACUACAGGCAUGUGCCACUAUCCAUGGCUUUCACAAGGUUUUGUACAGUCCCAGUUUAAAUGGGCCUUGCCCUAAGGCAGUAUGUGUUCCUUUGCUCAUAAUAUUUCCUGAAGCCUUGGCACUGUUCCAAGUUUUCAAUCUCUGUAGGUGAAAAGAGUCACUCAUGCUGACACUAGCACCCAGGACUUAACUGUGUCUGCUUUAAUGAAUCCUCCUUCCUUUAUACCUCAGGGCAAGGUUUGUUCUUCUUGUCAGUUUGAGUCCCAUUAUCUGAGUGUCCUUGUUCAUAAAUGAUCCACCUCUCCUGUUUUGUAAACAUCUCCUUUUCCAUUGAGUCUUUCUCUUUGCUUUUAGAAAGGUCUGAGUCUUUCUCAUCUUAAAACAACUCCUCCUAAACCUGAUGACAGGCUACAGCCAUUACCAAUGACUGUCUUUUUGGUUACAACCCAGCCUAGAACUGUGUAUAUUCAUGCUCUGUAUCAUUCCUAUCACUUUUAUCCCCCAUAAAAUCUGGAUUCCAUACUACCUCUCUACACAAUUCUUCUUCCAGUUCAAUGAUGAAUUGUUCUUUGCCCAAACUGGCUCAUACCUUUUGUACUUCAUUGUAUGCAAACUCUGAAGUAUCUUAAUAAUUCUUUCUUUUUCUGACCUUGCAAAGACAAUUUUCCUGGUGUCCUUUCUUUGGAGUUGCUCUUCAGUUUUCUUUGUGAUUUUCCAUCUGUCUAAAUGUAGAUGUUCUGUAGGAUUGAAUUUCCCAGCCAGCAUGAAGAAAUGAGCCCCUCAGUCCUUGCCUGUGUUUGUUGCCUGCAGAUUUGAGCUGCUUUGUUUAUCUGUUUAUUCCAGUAGGAUGCACACAUACCAUCAAUGUCUAUGUACCUUGUCAUGGAAAAAGCUGGAAGGCAGUGUCCUGGGAUUCCAUCUUCAGCCCUCCCCAUUUUAUUUUCUAGAUAUUCUAUAGUGAUAUCAUUCACUCAAGCACUCCCCGUAGGGAGAUGAAUUCUAAAUUGCUAUCUCCAGUUUUCAUUUCUCUGUUGAGCUCUAGAUCAAUAUGACCUCACCAAACACCUCUCCUUGGAUGAUUCUCAAACUUAACAUGUCCAAUAUGAAACCUUUUAUCUCUAAUCUUGUUCCUGUCAGUGAAUGAUAUCACUAACCACAUCUGAAUGUGGAAGCGAUCCUUCUUAUAACUCUAUUACUUUCAUAUCUAAUCAACCAUCAAAUCUUUGUGGCUUUGGUUGUGUUCCAUCAUGUCUAUCUUGCUUGCCAUCAUUCUGAAGCUACUGUAGUCUAAGUCUUUUGAAUUCUUUACCUGAACUACUAUGGUAGAUCUUAUUGUUGGUCAAACAUGUGCAGCUCUUCCUUGCAGUUCACUUUCUUGUGAUGAGCCCCACCGCCUUGUGAGAAGAUUAGACAUUCUGGCUUCAAUGAAUUCAGAGAAGGUGGUCUAGGAUUUGCUUUGGCUAGAAGAAGUACAAAUGAAAGUUACCUAGAACAAGCCAAAUUGUAAAGUUUGAGGCAUGGUCUUUGAGUCCGCCAAUUGUCCCAAGACUUCCGACACCAACUCUGAGGAGUUAGGGUCCAACUAUAGUGUUAGAAGGAAGGGUCCACAUGAAGCCACGCUACCUUCUCUCAUCGACUACAUUGUUAGGAAGAUUCUUGAAACUCACUGAAAACUAUUGGACUCAUGAUUGUGGCUUAUUACAGGAGAAAUACAGCAUCAUCUCUGUGAGGAGAGAGGCCCUGGAGAAGUGGAACAGCGGAUGGGAUGGCUUUGAUGUGUAAGAUAAGAUCUGAAAUGUGGAUAAAUUACAGUUGGAGCCCAGUGGGGAUGAUGGAAGACCCUGGUCAAGCACAGGGUGGUGUGAAGACAGAUCUGGAAGAGUGUCCUUGGCAUUUUGAUGGGAGUUGUAUCAAAUCUAUAUAAUGCUUUUGGUAGUAUGGCCAUUUUGACAAUAUUACUUCUGCCUAUCCAAGAACAUGGGAGGUCUUUCCAUCUUCUAAGCCAGGGGCUCAGGCCCUCUGUGGGGCUGGCUGUGCACAAACCUCUCAAGGCUCCGGGACACCUGGCGAUGUUUCUGUGCUUUAGGAAGCUGGGAAUCAGCAACACCUUUUGAAGACAAGUGUGCACACACUAUAAAUAGGUGUCAUGGAGGAGACAAAGACUUCAUUCUGGUGAUGAUCAUUGGAUCAAUACACAUAAACUGUGAGGCAGGAUCUUCCUACAUACCCCAGACUGGUCUCAAACUCAUGGGCUCCAGUGAUCUUCCCUCCUUAGCCUCCUGAGUGCUGGCAUUGCAGGCAGCACCGGGAGAAGAAAUGGCCAAACCUUCUGUUGGAAAAGCAUUUAAAGAUUCCAAGGGCGUCUGGCUGUUCCUGGGCCCAGCCAACUACAGCAGGAAACCCUGGUGCGCAGAACGGCAGGCAGGCAUCUUGGAUCACAGGCUGCAGACGGCUUCCAGGAAUUAAACAAGAGGAACACGUGAGAGCAAUUGCAAUGGGUGUCCUGGCCACACGUCCCCAAGGAUCACAACCUCGUUAACCUUAAGGGAGAUCACAGCUACCCACCAGGAUGAAAGAAUUAAAAAAAGGUGAUCAUUUCCAAAGUGUGCUCUUCUCUAAUGGUCACCCCAAAGACCUUGAAAAGUUUCAAGCCUGAAGUUUUGAGCUGAAUCGUCUAGUAUAAAAAGUCCUUGGGAGGAAUUAAUUGGACAGCAUAAUGUAUAAGCUACAGAACAUAGAUGUUAUCUGGCAGUCCCAAAACUAGAUUAAUUAACCUCCACUCCCCCCACUAACAAACAAAUUAAACAGUCUUUAUAAAGCCAGGCCUUUGUGCUUUCACCUCUAGAAAAGAGCCCAGAGAAGCAUCUAUUGUCUUCAUAAUUGUUCUCUAUGCAAAAAUUGAAGUUUUCUCUUCUAAUCAAUUGAAAAUAGAAGCAUGAAAUAAUAAAGCUGCAGAGAUUAUUUAGUGGAUGCUGUGCUUCUCUAGAACACUUGUUUUGUUUUAUUUUAUUUUAUUUUUGGGUACCAGGGAUUGAAAUCAGGGGUAGUUGACCAAUGAGCCACAUCUGCAGCACUAUUAUGUAUUUUAUUUAGAGAUAGGGUCUCACUGAGUUGCUUAGGGCCUCGCUUUGUCUGAGGCUGGCUUUGAACAUACGAUCUUCCUGCCUCUGUCUCCCAAGCCACUGGGAUUACAGGCAUGCACCACCACAUCCGGCUUAAACACCUGUUUUAAUUUGGGGAAUAGGUUUAUGUCCUAUUUCAUGUCUAAGUCCAAAGGAGCAUGCUUGUUCCCAGGUUAACUGUAUCCUAUACAAUCUUGUCACUUUCUUCUCAUC